rnacentral:rRNA from 1 species
CCCUUAGAGUUUGAUCCUGGCUCAGAACGAACGCUGGCGGCGUGGAUAAGACAUGCAAGUCGAACGGGACAACAUUGGUAGCAAUACCGAUGUUGUUUAGUGGCGAACGGGUGCGUAACACGUGGGGAAUCUGCCGAGAAGUGGGGGAUAGCUCGCCGAAAGGCGAAUUAAUACCGCAUAUGAUCAGCCAAGACAUCUUGGCGACAUCAAAGCCGGGGCAACCUGGCGCUUCUUGAUGACCCCGCGGCCUAUCAGCUAGUUGGUGAGGUAACGGCUCACCAAGGCUAUGACGGGUAGCUGGUCUGAGAGGACGACCAGUCACACUGGAACUGAGACACGGUCCAGACACCUACGGGUGGCAGCAGUCGAGAAUUUUUCUCAAUGGGGGAAACCCUGAAGGAGCGACGCCGCGUGGAGGAUGAAGGCUUUCGGGUUGUAAACUCCUGUCAUUUGAGAACAAUGCGUGACCGUUAACUGCGGUCACGUUGAUAGUAUCAGAAGAGGAAGAGACGGCUAACUCUGUGCCAGCAGCCGCGGUAAUACAGAGGUCUCAAGCGUUGUUCGGAUUCAUUGGGCGUAAAGGGUGCGUAGGUGGCGCCGUAAGUCAGGUGUGAAAUUUCGGAGCUUAACUCCGAAACUGCAUUUGAUACUGCGGUGCUUGAGGACCGGAGAGGAGACUGGAAUUCACGGUGUAGCAGUGAAAUGCGUAGAGAUCGUGAGGAAGACCAGUGGC